rnacentral:rRNA from 1 species
CCUACGGGUGGCAGCAGUGGGGAAUAUUGGACAAUGGGCGAAAGCCUGAUCCAGCCAUGCCGCGUGUGUGAAGAAGGCCUUCGGGUUGUAAAGCACUUUCAGUGGGGAAGAAAGCCUUGGGGCUAAUACCCUCGAGGAAGGACAUCACCCACAGAAGAAGCACCGGCUAACUCCGUGCCAGCAGCCGCGGUAAUACGGAGGGUGCGAGAGUUAAUCGGAAUUACUGGGCGUAAAGCGCGCGUAGGCGGUCUGAUAAGCCGGUUGUGAAAGCCCCGGGCUCAACCUGGGAACGGCAUCCGGAACUGUCAGGCUAGAGUGCAGGAGAGGAAGGUAGAAUUCCCGGUGUAGCGGUGAAAUGCGUAGAGAUCGGGAGGAAUACCAGUGGCGAAGGCGGCCUUCUGGACUGACACUGACGCUGAGGUGCGAAAGCGUGGGUAGCAAACAGGAUUAGAUACCCUUGUAGUC